AUUGAACGCUGGCGGCAGGCCUAACACAUGCAAGUCGAACGAGUGGCGGACGGGUGAGUAAUGUCUGGGAAACUGCCUGAUGGCGGGGGAUAACUACUGGAAACGGUAGCUAAUACCGCAUACCAUCGGAUGUGCCCAGAUGGGCUUAGCUUGUAGGUGGUGUAAAGGCUCACCUAGGCGACGAUCCCUAGCUGGUCUGAGAGGAUGACAUGCCGCAUGGGAACUGAGACACGGUCCAGAGUCCGACGGGAGGCAGCAGUGGGGAAUAUUGCACAAUGGUCGCAAGCCGGAUGCAGCCAUGCCGCGUGUAUGAAGAAGGCCUUCGGGUUGUAAAGUACUUUCAGCGGUGAGGCGUUACCCGCAGAAGAAGCACCGGCUAACUCCGUGCCAGCAGCCGCGGUAAUAC
rnacentral:rRNA from 1 species